rnacentral:rRNA from 1 species
CCGGCGACGGGUGAGUAACGCGUAUGUAACUUGCCUAUCAGGAGGGGAUAACCCGGCGAAAGUCGGACUAAUACCGCAUGAAGCAGGGGCCCCGCAUGGGGAUAUUUGCUAAAGAUUCAUCGCUGAUAGAUAGGCAUGCGUUCCAUUAGGCAGUUGGCGGGGUAACGGCCCACCAAACCGACGAUGGAUAGGGGUUCUGAGAGGAAGGUCCCCCACAUUGGUACUGAGACACGGACCAA